GCAAGUCGAGCGGACAGAAGGGAGCUUGCUCCCGGAUGUUAGCGGCGGACGGGUGAGUAACACGUGGGUAACCUGCCUGUAAGACUGGGAUAACUUCGGGAAACCGGAGCUAAUACCGGAUAGUUCCUUGAACCGCAUGGUUCAAGGAUGAAAGACGGUUUCGGCUGUCACUUACAGAUGGACCCGCGGCGCAUUAGCUAGUUGGUGGGGUAAUGGCUCACCAAGGCGACGAUGCGUAGCCGACCUGAGAGGGUGAUCGGCCACACUGGGACUGAGACACGGCCCAGACUCCUACGGGAGGCAGCAGUAGGGAAUCUUCCGCAAUGGACGAAAGUCUGACGGAGCAACGCCGCGUGAGUGAUGAAGGUUUUCGGAUCGUAAAGCUCUGUUGUUAGGGAAGAACAAGUGCGAGAGUAACUGCUCGCACCUUGACGGUACCUAACCAGAAAGCCACGGCUAACUACGUGCCAGCAGCCGCGGUAAUACGUAGGUGGCAAGCGUUGUCCGGAAUUAUUGGGCGUAAAGGGCUCGCAGGCGGUUUCUUAAGUCUGAUGUGAAAGCCCCCGGCUCAACCGGGGAGGGUCAUUGGAAACUGGGAAACUUGAGUGCAGAAGAGGAGAGUGGAAUUCCACGUGUAGCGGUGAAAUGCGUAGAGAUGUGGAGGAACACCAGUGGCGAAGGCGACUCUCUGGUCUGUAACUGACGCUGAGGAGCGAAAGCGUGGGGAGCGAACAGGAUUAGAUACCCUGGUAGUCCACGCCGUAAACGAUGAGUGCUAAGUGUUAGGGGGUUUCCGCCCCUUAGUGCUGCAGCUAACGCAUUAAGCACUCCGCCUGGGGAGUACGGUCGCAAGACUGAAACUCAAAGGAAUUGACGGGGGCCCGCACAAGCGGUGGAGCAUGUGGUUUAAUUCGAAGCAACGCGAAGAACCUUACCAGGUCUUGACAUCCUCUGACAACCCUAGAGAUAGGGCUUUCCCUUCGGGGACAGAGUGACAGGUGGUGCAUGGUUGUCGUCAGCUCGUGUCGUGAGAUGUUGGGUUAAGUCCCGCAACGAGCGCAACCCUUGAUCUUAGUUGCCAGCAUUCAGUUGGGCACUCUAAGGUGACUGCCGGUGACAAACCGGAGGAAGGUGGGGAU
rnacentral:rRNA from 1 species